rnacentral:misc_RNA from 1 species
GGGAGACAUUGAUUUUUCUUGCUGUUUCUUUCUUUUGUUGCUGUGUACACUGUAUCCUUGCUGUGUACAAACAUAUUCAAGGAAAUAUGUUCUUUUUUGAAAAAUAUUCUUGUUCCUUUGUUGUCUUUUAGGAGCAUUGGCAUAGGAUCCUUUUUGUGUUGCUCUAUUUGCAUCUGUUAUUCCAUUUGUGUAUGUAUUAAUGUGGCAUUUUGAAGGGGCAAGUGGGACCAAAGUGUUGAAAGUCAAAGAGAUAUUGGCAUCAAUACUUAAAAAUAUUGUUUAUUAAGGGAAUUCAUAUAUCUUUUAGAUUUUUUUUUUUCUUUUGUAACAAA